rnacentral:rRNA from 1 species
GACGAACGCUGGCGGCGUGCUUAACACAUGCAAGUCGAGCGGUAAGGCCCUUUCGGGGUACACGAGCGGCGAACGGGUGAGUAACACGUGGGUGACCUGCCCUCAGCUCUGGGAUAAGCCUGGGAAACCGGGUCUAAUACCGGAUAUGACUCCAUGACGCAUGUUGUGGGGUGGAAAGCCUUGUGCGGCUGGGGAUGGGCCCGCGGCCUAUCAGCUUGUUGGUGGGGUGAUGGCCUACCAAGGCGACGACGGGUAGCCGGCCUGAGAGGGCGACCGGCCGACACUGGGACUGAGACACGGCCCAGACUCCUACGGGAGGCAGCAGUGGGGAAUCUUGCGCAAUGGGCGAAAGCCUGACGCAGCGACGCCGCGUGAGGGAUGACGGCCU